rnacentral:tRNA from 1 species
UCCGUAGUGGCUCAGAUGGUAAAGAAUCUGCCUGCAAUGCAGGAGACCUGGGUUCGAUUCCUGGGUUGGGAA